AUUGAACGCUGGCGGCAGGCUUAACACAUGCAAGUCGAGCGGAGAUGAGGUGCUUGCACCUUAUCUUAGCGGCGGACGGGUGAGUAAUGCUUAGGAAUCUGCUUAUUAGUGGGGGACAACAUUCCGAAAGGAAUGCUAAUACCGCAUACGUCCUACGGGAGAAAGCAGGGGAUCUUCGGACCUUGCGCUAAUAGAUGAGCCUAAGUCGGACUAGCUAGUUGGUGGGGUAAAGGCCUACCAAGGCGACGAUCUGUAGCGGGUCUGAGAGGAUGAUCCGCCACACUGGGACUGAGACACGGCCCAGACUCCUACGGGAGGCAGCAGUGGGGAAUAUUGGACAAUGGGGGGAACCCUGAUCCAGCCAUGCCGCGUGUGUGAAGAAGGCCUUAUGGUUGUAAAGCACUUUAAGCGAGGAGGAGGCUACUGAGACUAAUACUCUUGGAUAGUGGACGUUACUCGCAGAAUAAGCACCGGCUAACUCUGUGCCAGCCGCCGCGGUAA
rnacentral:rRNA from 1 species